rnacentral:rRNA from 1 species
UACAGAGGUCUCAAGCGUUGUUCGGAUUCAUUGGGCGUAAAGGGUGCGUAGGCGGCGCGGUAAGUCGGGUGUGAAAUCUUGGAGCUUAACUCCGAAACUGCACUUGAUACUGCCUCGCUUGAGUACUGGAGAGGAGACUGGAAUUUACGGUGUAGCAGUGAAAUGCGUAGAUAUCGUAAGGAAGACCAGUGGCGAAGGCGAGUCUCUGGACAGUUACUGACGCUGAGGCACGAAGGCCAGGGGAGCAAACGGG